rnacentral:lncRNA from 1 species
UUUUUUUUUUUUUUUUUUUUUUUUUUUUUUAUUAAAUUUUAUUUUCCCACUGUACAGCAAGGGGGUCAGGUUAUCCUUACAUGUAUACAUUACAAUUACAGGUUUUCCCCCACCAGGUCUGCUGUUGCAACAUGAGUAUCUAGACAUAGUUCUCAAUGCUAUUCAGCGGGAUCUCCUUGUAAACCUAUUCUACGUUGUGACUGAUAAGCCCAAGCUCCCGAUCCCUCCCACUCCCUCCCCCUCCCAUCAGGCAACCACAAGUCUCUUCUCCAAGUCCAUGAUUGAUUUUCUUUUCUGAGGAGAUGUUCAUUUGUGCUGGAUAUUAGAUUCCAGUUAUAAGUGAUGUCAUAUGGUAUUUGUCUUUGUCUUUCUGGCUCAUUUCACUCAGGAUGAGAUACUCUAGUUCCAUCCAUGUUGCUGCAAAUGGCAUGAUGUCAUCCUUUUUUAUGGCGGAGAAGUAUUACAUCAUGUAUAUAUACCACAUCUUCCGAAUCCAAUCCUCUGACGAUGGACAUUUGGAUUGUUUCCAUGUCCUGGCUAUUGUGAAUAGUGCUGCAAUGAACAUGCGGGUGCAUGUGUCUCUUUUAAGUAGAGCUUUGUCCGGAUAGAUGCCCAAGAGUGGGAUUGCAGGGUCAUAUGGAAGUUCUAUGUAUAGAUUUCUAAGGUAUCUCCAAACUGUUCUCCAUAGUGGCUGUACCAGUUUACAUUCCCACCAACAGUGCAGGAGGGUUCCCUUUUCUCCACAGCCCCUCCAGCACUUGUUAUUUGUGGAUUUAUUAAUGAUGGCCAUUCUGACUGGUGUGAGGUGAUAUCUCAUGGUAGUUUUGAUUUGCAUUUCUCUUAUAAUCAGCGAUGUUGAGCAUUUUUUCAUGUGUUUGUUGGCCAUCUGUAUAUCUUCUUUGGAGAAAUGUCUAUUCAGGUCUUUUGCCCAUUUUUCCAUUGAUUGAUUGGCUUUUUUGCUGUUGGGUUGUAUAAGUUGUUUAUAUAUUCUAGAGAUUAAGCCCUUGUCCAAUAUUUUGAAUCUUCUAGGUAGCUACUAUCAUGGCAACUUCUUCAUUAUUGUUGGUCUAAGACUUCAUAGUUCAUAAAGUCUCUAAGACUGUCUUCUAGAUCUCAUCCAUCUCUUGAAAUUCUUUUCCAAAAAUUAUAACUAGGUUACGCCUUGGUAUCAUAAACUAUUAAACUUAAUACAAAUUUCUCUGUGGUAUUAAUAAGGAAAAUACCUCAUCAAGGCUAUAUAUUUUAUAAUAAUGAUUCCAACAUCAUUUUGUGGGCAAUGGCGCCAAAAUUAUUUUGAAAAAAAAAGACUUUCUGAAUCGUAGUUAUAGUCACUGAAAAGUGUCUGGCAUUUUUAUUAUCCUGGUCUUCUGUCUUAUUCACAGCUAACAAAUUUUAAUUCUCGAAAUAAAAUCACUCUAGUGUGAUUAUGAACAUCAGGAAAAGCUAUAUUUUCUCACUUCCACACAUGAAACUCCAGAGACUAAAAUGAAGGGUCUUUUGGAAACUCUAACAUCGUCACUAGCUCAGAACUUUACAGCUUUACCUUUUCUCAAAGAAUCUAUAAUUAAGAUUUUCAAACACAAUUUUCCCUAAUUAUUGAGAAUUAGGUUGGAAAUUUUUGUUGUCCAUCAUCUCAGAGUAAUAAAUCUAUGACUUUAAACAUGAAACCCCAAAUCAUCCAAAUGCAUUCAUUUAAUUUAUUUUUUCUGUAGUAAUACAUGCUUUGCUUAUAAAGAAAAUUCCAGAUUAAGCUAUUUAACAGAUUAUUGAAAAAUCUGUUCCUGCUAACAUUGUUUUUGCAUGUUCUGUGUGCCUAUUAUAAGAAACAGAGUAAAACAGGCACCGAAUCUAAAAGAAUAGUUAAUGAGAGGAAAAUAAAUUUAGAACUUGACAGGUACUUUAUUAUCAGCAUAUAAUACAUGACAAAAUUAAAACUCUUAUCAAGGCCUACUCACUGGGAAAAUCUAAAUUUAUUGUAAUUGUUGAAGCAACUGCUUUUAACCCAAAUGGACAGGGGUUUAGUUUCAUUUUCAUGCUUACUAUAAACGUGUCCAUCUCUUCGUCACCAGUGAUAAAUGCUACUGACUUGAAUCGAGUGACAUAUAAUUUGAAAUAAGAAUAAUGUCCUACACUUGUAUAUACUUUUUACAAAACACUUUUAAACAUUUUUCUAGGUCUUAUCCCUAUGAGUUAAAUUGAUUUAUGUUAGACUGCUUUGCCCAUAUUAUAGAAAAUAAAACUAACAGGGUUACUAAGUGAUGUGCCACAGGUCUCAAAGUUCGUAUGUAGCAGUUCAAGAUUACAGCCCUCUUUACCUGCACCUCGGCCCAAGCAGCAGCCUGUCCUCUGCAGAACAGGUAGCUCCUCCAGGUACUAAAAAUGCACAAAGAUAUCUAUUCUCACCUUUGAGAAUCUACAUCCCAACUCGGUUGCAGAACUAAUCUAGGCUAAGUCACCUGAUAGCUUUCUCUUUCUGUUAUCUCUUGUGUACCUGCCUUCAUUUAAGGCAAGCAAUACCAUCCAAACUCAGGCCAUGGUCCACAACACUUCAAGCAAAUUGACCUGUUAAAAGAAUUAGUUCAUAUGUACUUCUUUAGAAGCACAGGAAUUGGAUUUAUGCCUUAUAUUUUUCAGCCAACAGUGGAUUAAAAAUGGCUGUGCCCUUUCCAAAAGUUCCAACCUUAAAACAAGGGAACUUCUUUGGCUUCAAAGUCACCUUCAGUCACCAACUGUUUUGUCUGAACAGUUAAAUAAAUAUAAAGUUGAAUUUGGGUUUUGCAUGAUUCAUUGAACUGUUCUCCCAAAAGUUUGAUUUUUUUUUUACAUGAAACAUAUCCAAAUGAAGAAAAAUAUUAAAAUUUAAAAUUGGCACAAGGCUGCCAGACCUCCAGAAAUUUACUUAAAUUUCUGAGUUAAAACAUUAUUUCUUGAAGAUUACAAAAUACUUCUUUGUCUUAGAAAAGCCCAAUAUAAAUCUGUACUUUUACCUCUUUCCAGGCAAUUCAAAGUCCUGAGAACAUUUUAAUUCCAUUUAUCCCCUCCUAUGUUAUAUGCUAUUAUUAUUACUAUGUAUUUCCAUUCUGUAUAUUUUAAAAUCACAGAAGGCACUGUAUAAUCAAUACCAAUUUAAGUCAGCUGUUUAUUUACUCUUUUUGUUGCUCUCCAUACCUGUUUUUAUUUAUUUAUUUCAUUUAUUCAUUCAUUCAUUGGCCCUGCCCACUGCAUGUGGAAGUUCCCAGGCCAGAGAUCAAACCCACGCCUCAGAUAUAACCAGAGCCACAGGAGUGACAAAAUCAGAUCCUUGUAAUAAGAAUAAUGUCCUACUGAGCCAGGAGGAAACUCCAUUCUUUUUUAUUUUAAUUUUCUAUUUUAUUGUGAUAAGACACAACAUGCAAUAUAUUCUCUUAACAAAUUUUGUGUUGAUUCUAGGUACAGUGUUAUACAGUAGAUUGUUAAAGCUUAUUUAUCUUUUUUAAAAAAAUUUUUAUUUCCCCAAUACAUUAUUUUUUUUCUACUGUACAACAUGGUGACCCAGCUACACAUACAUGUAUACAUUCUUUUUUCUGACUUUAUCAUGACUUUAUAAGUGACUAGAUAUAGUUCCCAGUGCUACACAGCAGGAUCCCAUUACUAAUCCAUUCCAAAGGCAAUAUUCUUAUUUAAAUGAAACUUAAUGCCUAGUGAUUAAUAAUUCCCCAUCCCGGAGUUCCUAUCCUGGCUCAGUGGUUAACAAAUCCGACUAGGAACCAUGAGGUUGCGGGUUCCAUCCCUGGCCUUGCUCAGUGGGUUAAGGAUCUGGUGUUGCCGUUAGCUGUGGUAUAGGUUGCAGACGUGGCUCGGAUCCCGCGUUGCUGCGGCUCUGGCGUAGGCCGGCGGCUACAGCUCUGAUUGGACCCCUAGCCUGGGAACCUCCAUAUGCCGAGGGAGCGGCCCUAGAAAUGGCAAAGAAAAAAGACCAAAAAAAAAAAAAAA